rnacentral:rRNA from 1 species
UACGGAGGAUCCAAGCGUUAUCCGGAUUUAUUGGGUUUAAAGGGUGCGUAGGCGGAUAUGUAAGUCCGUGGUGAAAUCUCUGGGCUUAACCCGGAAACUGCCAUGGAUACUAUGUGUCUUGAAUGUUGUUGAGGUGAGCGGAAUAUGUCAUGUAGCGGUGAAAUGCUUAGAUAUGACAUAGAACACCAAUUGCGAAGGCAGCUCACUAAGCAAAUAUUGACGCUGAGGCACGAAAGCGUGGGGAUCAAACAGG